CUUGGAAGCUUCGGGGUCCCCCUGCGUUUCCUCCCCUUUCUCCCCCAAAGAAAGGCAGCCACUGAGCCACCCCUCCAGUUGGGAGAAUAAAGAAGCUCAGGCGGAGGAGCGGAUACUACGGGAACCUUUCCUUCAGCGAGGGAGAAAGCAGCCUGCAAGUUUGCCUGCCAAGAUCGCCCAGCCCCACUCACUUUCGGCCAGAGGGCUUCGCUGUCGUUGAUGCGUUGCCACCAGUUCAGCCUUCUUGCGUGCUGCCGUUUCCCCUGGCUUUGGGUCGGAAUGAAAACACCGAGAGCCCCGCUACCGUUUCGCCCAGCUGCUUUGUGUGUGCUUGUGUAAGUGUUGGGCUGUGUAUGCUCGCCUUCCUCGCGGGCUCUGAGUGAAUAAUCGAAAUCUGGCGCCACUUGCUGGCCGAUAAACGGAACUGCCGUUCCUGCCGAGGAAAAAGGAGCAGGCGCCUUCCGGGCUCUUCAUGGGCCUCGUUCCCUUCCAAAGGCGUCCCCUGGUGACUGCACCACACCCUUUCCAUAAUAGUAGGACUUCUUUGUACGCUGCUCAUCCUUUAAAACAACGUACUGUUUGUAACAGUAAAGCUUACCUAUCAGUUCUACUUAUUGCAGCACUAUGCUGCCCAAUUUUAGAUCAGCUGACCCAAGGACUUGGUUAGCGGUUUAUGAAUUCUGUGUUGUGCGCAUGGGUUUGCUUCAAACUGAGGGCCAAUUGCCGGUAUGUCGUUGGCUGAUAGGUUCCCAUUGAAGGCAUUAACAUACCUGAACAGAGGAUAACAGGUACUGCUGUACUCAUCCCAGUCAUUACCUGAAGGCUUCUGUUAACAUUGGACCUUGCACAGCGUGGUUCAGACCAUUACUGCCUUCUGCUCCAUAUGAAAUCAUCAAGGACAAAGAACAGCCAGGAGCAAACCGUCUUCAGAGCUGUUCUAACAACAGACUUUGAAGAGUUCUUGAAUGCUGUUAAUCUGCAUAUGUAAAACAUUCAGAAUCAUGCAGCAUGAUAGCAAGAUUGCACCAUGCCGUGUCCAACGCCAGGGCUUGCUUCACACCAGGCUACAGUUGGGGGAAAGUCUGCUUAUCUCACCAGUACCAAAAUGGAACAGAACAGAGAAAAGAAGCCAUGCUCAAAGUCAGACUGAGCACUAGAAUCCGGAGGAGACAGACAAGAAUCAGAAGGCAAGGCACUGCUGACCCUAUUGCAAUAAGUAAUAUUGUGCUCCUACCGGGAAGGAAGGAAGGAAGGAAGGAAGGAAGGAUCUUAUAUCCAUGGACCAUGACAACAUUCAUGCAAACCAGUGGUGGCCAACCUCUGGAAAACCAUGACCUUUCCCAGUAUUAAAAAGAAGAAGCAAACAUUGGGAAAUCACCAGCAUGCCUCAAAAUACACCGGAUUUUGCACUGACAUGGUUGAUAGGCACACUCAUACAGUCUUUCUAACCAACAAGAACAAACAGUACUGGCAAUGUUUUUCUACUCUGUAUAUGAACCUGAAAGGUAAAUGAAGUUAGAGCUCUACUCUGUCAUCAGAAGAAGCAAUGGAAAUCACCACAAGCUGGCAAGUAUAGUCAUACACCUUUCCUAAGACAUCUCGUGCCACAUUUUGGAACUGUAUAUGGAAUGGGUCUCUCUGUACAAUUUAUACACAACUGGAUUUGCACAGUCUCACUAUAGUGCUGAAAACUGUCAGGGAUGUUAUGACUGAUUGUGAUAAAAAAAUAUCCCAGGGAACUAUUUUCUUCCAUCUCUAUUUGGAGCCUUUAAAUUGCUUUGCUUUUUUUUUUUUACAGAAAUGUGCCUCAAAUAGACAUUAUCUAAUUACACAAACAGAUGUAACCAAUCAUCUAUGGCCCAGUCAAGAGAAAGUUAGUUCUCAAGUAACUUUGAUAUUAAGUGGACACGUUAGGGUUAAACUACAUGUUAUACAAUUAUAAAUAUGACAUGAGAUAUUGUUCAGAUCUCCUGAUGUUUUGAUUUUAACUUAAAAGUAACUCCCCCACCACUCCCCUGAAUUGAAUUAGGGCAGCAGCUCAGAGAACCUUGAAAUAGAAAAGCCCUGACUCCAGAUGUAUUUCACUGAUCACAAUGAUGGACAUUUUACCAGCAAUGUCAUUGUUUAUCACUGAAAAAUAUGAAAACAGAAAAUUAAAAGGAAAAAGU